rnacentral:rRNA from 1 species
AGAGUUUGAUCCUGGCUCAGGACGAACGCUGGCGGCGUGCUUAACACAUGCAAGUCGAGCGGUAAGGCCUCUUCGGGGGUACACGAGCGGCGAACGGGUGAGUAACACGUGGGUGACCUGCCCUCAGCUCUGGGAUAAGCCUGGGAAACUGGGUCUAAUACCGGAUAGGACCGCAUGUUUCAUGGUGUGUGGUGGAAAGUUUUUUCGGCUGGGGAUGGGCCCGCGGCCUAUCAGCUUGUUGGUGGGGUGAUGGCCUACCAAGGCGACGACGGGUAGCCGGCCUGAGAGGGCGACCGGCCACACUGGGACUGAGACACGGCCCAGACUCCUACGGGAGGCAGCAGUGGGGAAUAUUGCGCAAUGGGCGGAAGCCUGACGCAGCGACGCCGCGUGGGGGAUGACGGCCUUCGGGUUGUAAACCUCUUUCGACCUCGACGAAGCGUGAGUGACGGUAGGGGUAGAAGAAGCACCGGCCAACUACGUGCCAGCAGCGGCGGUAAUUC